UCCCUACGGGGCGCAGCAGUGAGGAAUAUUGGUCAAUGGCCGUAAGGCUGAACCAGCCAAGUAGCGUGAGGGAAGACUGCCCUAUGGGUUGUAAACCUCUUUUAUGCGGGGAUAAAGGUGUCCACGUGUGGAUGUUUGCAGGUACCGCAUGAAUAAGGACCGGCUAAUUCCGUGCCAGCAGCCGCGGUAAUACGGAGGAUGCGAGCGUUAUCCGGAUUUAUUGGGUUUAAAGGGUGCGUAGGCGGAUUUUUAAGUCAGCGGUAAAAUGUCCGGGCUCAACCCGGGCCGGCCGUUGAAACUGGGGG
rnacentral:rRNA from 1 species